GUGGGGAAUCUUCCGCAAUGGACGAAAGUCUGACGGAGCAACGCCGCGUGAGUGAAGAAGGUUUUCGGAUCGUAAAGCUCUUUCGUUAGGGACGAACGUGCUCUUUGUGAAUAAUGAGGAGUAAUGACGGUACCUAAAUAAGAAGCCACGGCUAACUACGUGCCAGCAGCCGCGGUAAUACGUAGGUGGCAAGCGUUGUCCGGAAUUAUUGGACGUAAAGCGCGCGCAGGCGGGAUAUCAAGUCUGUCUUAAAAGUGCGAGGCUCAACCUCGUGAGGGGACAGAAACUGGUAUUCUUGAGUGUCGGAGAGGAAAGUGGAAUUCCAAGUGUAGCGGUGAAAUGCGUAGAGAUUUGGAAGAACACCAGUGGCGAAGGCGACUUUCUGGACGAUGUCUGACGCUGAGGCGCGAAAGCUAGGGGAGCGAACGGGAUUAGAUACCCCUGUAGUCC
rnacentral:rRNA from 1 species